rnacentral:lncRNA from 1 species
CAGGCAUAUGAAUGGUGUGAGAGCCAGCAAAGGAUGGAAAAGAGUCAGGCCCAUUGUAGCGAUGGGGGCAAGCAGCAGCAUUGUGUUGAGUAGUAGAGCAGGUGGGACACCAAUUGGAAGGUGGAGGACCCAACACACCUUGGCCAGCCCAAGGGGGCCGUGAGCUAAAUCCACGACCAGCCGACGGUUGUGGAGGCACAUUCCAGGGAGCCCAACUAGGUGUCUGCCAAGACGAGGAUGGAGGGGAGAAUGCAUUCCAACGAUCACCACGACGAGAGCCAUUGCGGUUCCAGCCACCACUGCGGCCAUUGCGGCCAUUGCGGCCGUUACCACCAUUGCUGCGGGAGGCAGGUGAGGGCUGGGAGAGACCAGGGCCACCACGGGGUGGCCCGGAGGACUAGGCUGCCAUAAGGGCAGUGCUCUGGGCAGCAGGGUCAGAGGAAGGCCGCGGGGC